CACGCAUCUGCAUGUGAAAUGUGAACCCGCUGACAUUCCAGGGCAGUCCUAAACCCUGCGGUCCUUUUGUUCACUUGUGUGCCACUGUCAGGCCCAACACACCAAGCAAAGACCUCUGUGAUUGGAUAGAGAAACACAAGGCAGUGCACAUAGAUGCGAUGGCAGCACUCGGGGUUCUUUCAGCAGCUGAAUGACGUUUCGAGGCACAAAGAGCAGCUAUUCAGCAAGCAGUGAUGGACUUCACCCUCGCCUUUAUGGCCUCACAAAGUCGUGGGGGAUAUACAUGAAUCAGAAAACGUUGAGAAUUUCCUUUGAGAGAGCCGUUUCUUGGAGUGCGCCCGACGUCGUGACUGCAGCUAAUUCAAGCUCAUCAAGACUGUAUUCAAGCCCAGGCGAUCCAAGAGAAGGUUGCCGAAAUUUUAACCUGCUGGGCGCCAUUCGACACCUCUGCCGCCCUUGUUUUGAAAUCCCCUACGUUGCGCUGGUAUUUGAUAUGGUGGCUUCUAACCACUGGACAGCCAGCCCAAAAGCCGCCGGGGAAGGAAGAAGGUCGCUGGCUUCUAACCGAUGGAGAGCCAGACCGAAAGCCGCCGGGGAAGGAAGAAACCCGCUGACUUCUAUUUGUUUUGUUGUCUUGUCGGCCCUCUGCCUACCGCUUAGGUUAUUAUUAUUGGUCCCCGUUGACCCUUGGACACUUCCCUCUGUUGUUUUGUGCUUUGAAGUACAACCUUGUUUCCGCAAUAGCGGACCCUAACAUCCGCAACUA